rnacentral:rRNA from 1 species
UUGCACGCUGGCGGCAUGCCUUACACAUGCAAGUCGAACGGCAGCACGGGUGCUUGCACCUGGUGGCGAGUGGCGAACGGGUGAGUAAUACAUCGGAACAUGUCCUGUAGUGGGGGAUAGCCCGGCGAAAGCCGGAUUAAUACCGCAUACGAUCUACGGAUGAAAGCGGGGGACCUUCGGGCCUCGCGCUAUAGGGUUGGCCGAUGGCUGAUUAGCUAGUUGGUGGGGUAAAGGCCUACCAAGGCGGCGAUCAGUAGCUGGUCUGAGAGGACGACCAGCCACACUGGGACUGAGACACGGCCCAGACUCCUACGGGAGGCAGCAGUGGGGAAUUUUGGACAAUGGGCGAAAGCCUGAUCCAGCAAUGCCGCGUGUGUGAAGAAGGCCUUCGGGUUGUAAAGCACUUUUGUCCGGAAAGAAAUCCUUGGCCCUAAUACGGUCGGGGGAUGACGGUACCGGAAGAAUAAGCACCGGCUAACUACGUG